UACAGAGGUCCCAAGCGUUGUUCGGAUUCACUGGCGUAAAGGGUGCGUAGGCGGUUGGGUAAGUCUGUCGUGAAAUCUCCGAGCCUAACUCGGAAACUGCGUCGGAUACUAUUCAACUUGAGGAAUGGAGGGGAGACUGGAAUUCUCGGUGUAGCAGUGAAAAUGCGUAGAUAUCGAGAGGAACACCAGUGGCGAAGGCGAGUCUCUGGACAUUUCCUGACGCUGAGGGCACGAAAGCCAGGGAGCAAACGGGAAUUAGA
rnacentral:rRNA from 1 species